CUGGCCUGUGUGAUGAAUAGAAUAUGAUGGAAGUGAAAGUGGUGACCUCCAAGGCGAAGUCAAAAAGGCAUUGCAGCUUCUGACAUGGCCCUUGGGUCAGCUGCUCUGCAGGAAGCCAGCUGCCAUCCCAUGAGGAUGCUCAAGUAGCCCUGUGGAGGGGCCCCAGGGACACCGGGCACGGAUCAACAGCCGGCACCAAUCUGCCAGCCAUGAGUGAGCCACCUUGGGAGGGGAACCUCCAGUCCCGGUCCAGCCUUCAGAUGACUGCAACCUCAACUGACAUCCAACUACAACUUAGUGAGUGACUUUGAGCCAGAACUGCCCAGCCAAGCUGUCCCUGAAUUCCUGACCUACAGAAAUCAUGAGAGAUCAUCAGUGGUUAUUGUGCACAGGGUCUGAGACAAUCACAGCAGAGGAGCCUGCAGACAGCAGCGCAGGUGGGAGCUCAUGGCGUGGGAAGAGGCUACACAUUUCGGUGCCUGGAUUCCAAUCUACCUCCUUCACUGACUUGCUGUGACCCAAGGCAAAGCUGAUUAGUCUCCCUGAGCCUCAGUUCCCUCAAGUGUGAAAGUCAUAAUAACUGAAUUUUCAGUGCCACCAGGAUUGGAG
rnacentral:lncRNA from 10 species